CGCGUGUACUGGUCCGGCCGGGCCUUUCCCUCUGUGGAACCCCAUGCCCUUCACUGGGUGUGGCGGGGAAACAGGACUUUUACUUUGAAAAAAUUAGAGUGCUCCAGGCAGGCCUAUGCUCGAAUACAUUAGCAUGGAAUAAUAAAAUAGGACGUGUGGUUCUAUUUUGUUGGUUUCUAGGACCGCCGUAAUGAUUAAUAGGGACAGUCGGGGGCAUCAGUAUUCAAUUGUCAGAGGUGAAAUUCUUGGAUUUAUUGAAGACUAACUACUGCGAAAGCAUUUGCCAAGGAUGUUUUCAUUUAUCAGGAACGAAAGUUAGGGGAUCGAAGACGAUCAGAUACCGUCGUAGUCUUAACCAUAAACUAUGCCGACUAGGGAUCGGACGAUGUUAUUUUUUGACUCGUUCGGCACCUUACGAGAAAUCAAAGUGCUUGGGCUCCAGGGGGAGUAUGGUCGCAAGGCUGAAACUUAAAGAAAUUGACGGAAGGGCACCACCAGGGGUGGAGCCUGCGGCUUAAUUUGACUCAACACGGGGAAACUCACCAGGUCCAGACACAAUGAGGAUUGACAGAUUGAGAGCUCUUUCUUGAUUUUGUGGGUGGUGGUGCAUGGCCGUUCUUAGUUGGUGGAGUGAUUUGUCUGCUUAAUUGCGAUAACGAACGAGACCUUAACCUGCUAAAUAGCCCGUAUUGCUUUGGUAGUACGCCGGCUUCUUAGAGGGACUAUCGG
rnacentral:rRNA from 1 species